AGAGUUUGAUCCUGGCUCNNAUUGAACGCUGGCGGCAUGCCUUACACAUGCAAGUCGAACGGUAGAGGGGCAACCCUUGAGAGUGGCGAACGGGUGAGUAAUAUAUCGGAACGUGCCCAGUCGUGGGGGAUAACGCAGCGAAAGCUGCGCUAAUACCGCAUACGAUCUAAGGAUGAAAGCGGGGGAUCGCAAGACCUCGCGCGAUUGGAGCGGCCGAUAUCAGAUUAGGUAGUUGGUGGGGUAAAAGCCCACCAAGCCGACGAUCUGUAGCUGGUCUGAGAGGACGACCAGCCACACUGGGACUGAGACACGGCCCAGACUCCUACGGGAGGCAGCAGUGGGGAAUUUUGGACAAUGGGCGCAAGCCUGAUCCAGCAAUGCCGCGUGCAGGACGAAGGCCUUCGGGUUGUAAACUGCUUUUGUACGGAGCGAAACGGUCUGGGUUAAUACCCUGGGCUAAUGACGGUACCGUAAGAAUAAGCACCGGCUAACUACGUGCCAGCCGCCGCGGUAAUUC
rnacentral:rRNA from 1 species